rnacentral:rRNA from 1 species
AGUGAACGCUGGCGGUAGGCCUAACACAUGCAAGUCGAGCGGAAGCACAGUAAGAGUGUGCUCUUACGGUUAGCGAGUGACGGGCGGGUAAGGCGUGGAUAGGCUACUUAUUUUACGGGGGGGAUAACGGAGGACCACUUCCGAUAAUGGAUCAUACGAUCUACGGGUGAAAGCAGGAGUGCUUCGGACUUUUGGUGAUUCAUUGAGACGAUGCCGGAUUAGCUAGUUGGCGGGGUAAGGGCAUACCAAGGCAACGCUACGUAGCUGACCUGAGAGGAUGAUCGGCCACACUGGAACUGAGACACGGUCCAGACUCCUACGGGAGGCAGCAGUGGGGAAUAUUGGACAAUGGGCGAAAGCCUGAUCCAGCAACGCCGCGUGAGUGAUGAAGGUCUUCGGGUCGUAAAACUCUUUUAUUAGGAAAGAACAUAUGUGUAAGUAACUGUGCACGUCUUGACGGUACCUAAUCAGAAAGCCACGGCUAACUACGUG